rnacentral:rRNA from 1 species
GACGAACGCUGGCGGCGUGCCUAAUACAUGCAAGUCGAGCGGACCGAAGGGAGCUUGCUCCUUUAGGUUAGCGGCGGACGGGUGAGUAACACGUGGGCAACCUGCCCUGCAGACUGGGAUAACUUCGGGAAACCGGAGCUAAUACCGGAUAACACCGAAAACCGCAUGGUUUUCGGUUGAAAGACGGCUUUUAGCUGUCACUGCAGGAUGGGCCCGCGGCGCAUUAGCUAGUUGGUGAGGUAACGGCUCACCAAGGCGACGAUGCGUAGCCGACCUGAGAGGGUGAUCGGCCACACUGGGACUGAGACACGGCCCAGACUCCUACGGGAGGCAGCAGUAGGGAAUCUUCCGCAAUGGACGAAAGUCUGACGGAGCAACGCCGCGUGAGCGAAGAAGGUCUUCGGAUCGUAAAGCUCUGUUGUCAGGGAAGAACAAGUGCCGUUCGAACAGGGCGGUACCUUGACGGUACCUGACGAGGAAGCCACGGCUAACUACGUGCCAGCAGCCGCGGUAAUACGUAGGUGGCAAGCGUUGUCCGGAAUUAUUGGGCGUAAAGCGCGCGCAGGCGGUUCCUUAAGUCUGAUGUGAAAUCUCGCGGCUCAACCGCGAGCGGCCAUUGGAAACUGGGGAACUUGAGUGCAGGAGAGGGGAGCGGAAUUCCACGUGUAGCGGUGAAAUGCGUAGAGAUGUGGAGGAACACCAGUGGCGAAGGCGGCUCUCUGGCCUGUAACUGACGCUGAGGCGCGAAAGCGUGGGGAGCGAACAGGAUUAGAUACCCUGGUAGUCCACGCCGUAAACGAUGAGUGCUAAGUGUUAGAGGGUAUCCACCCUUUAGUGCUGCAGCAAACGCAUUAAGCACUCCGCCUGGGGAGUACGGCCGCAAGGCUGA